rnacentral:lncRNA from 1 species
GAGUGAAAACAUCAACAUCUUGCGCCUUGCAAACAACAACGGAAAUCUACGACUGGCCUCGUCCUCCACACCCCGCAAACGCCCAAUCCCCUAAGGUUACCUGCAUAGUAGAAGAGGGAAUGAGUAAUCGAAAUCACUCAGUGAGUUCCCAAAACAAAACAACAACUACCCCCUUCAGCCCAUGCUCAAACAACAAGAGCAACACAACCAAGCAAUGCAAUAACAACAACAGAAAUUAAAUAUGCAAUGCGAGAAUUUAAACAUGAAUGCAAUGCAAAAACUUAAACAUGAAUGCAAUGCAACUACUCUACACCCAAGUCUCCCACCGAGACUUAACUACAAAACUAAGACUCGAUCUAGACUCAAUCCUAGACUCAAACACUACAAAGCAAAACACUCAAAGGAUGGCGCCACACGCAACACAUCCCGGGAUCCCUCACAACACAGAGCCCUAAAUCUCCCAACUGAACACUCCCGACCACAAACACAGAAGUCACAUGAUCGGAAAACAUCAUCUCCGAGAAUUGGGCAUCUCCCAAUCUAACUCGGGCCGCAUCAUCAUGCAGCGCUUGUCCAUGGGCGCGACCCACUUCACGUGACAAGCCAUGAAGAGAAGGUCACUCCACCACUGGAGAAUUGGGUAUCUCCCAAUCUAACUCCAAGACAGCCAUGCACUUUAGUCUAGAUGCAACACAACACAUCAAAACAAUAAUCAAGCGUGAGGGAGCUCCACCUCUAACCUCCACGCACAACUAGACUAAAUGCACAACACAUCUCACACUCGCCCUAGCCUAGACAAAACACAAACACACUAGCAUGAGGGGGCAAAGCCACAAACCUCAAUACAGCCCUAAGCCUAGACUCAACCUAAAACAACUAAAGCGAGCGACACACUACAACUACCCGGCAAAAGAGAGAGUCUCACUCAAAUCUUUUUGCAACCCCAAACUACACUACAAUGCAUGAGCAUAUGAACUACAUGAGAGAGUUACACUCAAAUCUUCAUGCUUCACAACAACAACUCAUAAGCUACAACUAAUCAAACGAAUGCAUGCAUGCAACUAACGACCUAACAACACAAUGCAUGUCUAACAUAUCAUCACCCUAGAUGAAUAUGUUCACCACCACAAGACAUGCAAUGCACAAAUACAACUAAUGCAUGCAAGAAAGUAAACACUCAAGUAUGGGGACUACAAAUCUCCCACACACACACACACAAACAAUCAUAGCCACAAAUGUGGUUAAAUCACAAGAACUGAAACGUUUCUUGCUCCUCCACCUGCACACACACACGGUUAGAACACACAACACAACCAGGGAAACCCACCUAAGACUUCACAAACCGCACAACAGCUCCAAAAGCAAAAGACCUAAGGUUAACACUAAAACCGAUCAAAGAGAGGCUAAAGGCUAAGAGGGAAAGGGAACCUACAAACGGUAAACUAAGGUCUUACCACCACUCCUAGCACUCCACAACUGAUCCUAGAGCAAGGAUCAAGCCACGCAAAAGCCUUCCACACUCACCUCACACACUCAAAAAAAUUAUCGGUUUUAAGCCAUUUUCUCUCUCUAGAACAAACCAUAAGAUCGACUGACAGAGAAAGCUCAGGGGUUUCUAAACUUCAAAAACACAUCCUUAGGGUUCUAUUUAUAGCCAAAGGGAGGGAUGGGAGCACUUGACACAUGUUCACACACUUGUCACCAAUUUAAACCCGAAAUUCAUGCAUGUGGGUUAAAUACUCUUAAUCUACUCUUUUUCUUCUGAGCUUCUGUAAGGUCACUUACUUUACCUUGAUGUUCAAGUGUACCGAAUCUCAGCACAAAACUUGAUCGGCAAGUUACUUUGCCACAUAACCCAUUUUUAAGGCUUAAAUGAGCUAUUUGCAAAACACAUGGUAAACCUACUCCUUAGGUUUGUUCCCCAUUAUUCCUGUAGACUCCAUGAGGUGAUGAAUUGACCAAUGCAUGUUCUCCUUCGUGCCUGACGUGAUUCCACUCCAAAUAAUUUUUCUUCAUGAAGGGCUUUUUUACCACUUUUGGUUAAUGGACUGCUCCACUUACUCCAGGCUUCAAAUGAUUGCUCCAGCCUGCUCCAUUACUUCAUUUGGGUCCUAAAUGAACCAUAGAUGUCGAGGUUUUGAGGUAGAAACCCAUUUCUCCAGUCCAUGUCUUCUUUGCCAUUUAUAGCCCAUUUCGGGUAUAAAAUGUGUCUUCAUGAUUCCUUGCUCUCUAGAUGUCUUUUUCCCAUGAUUUCUUCCCCCAAAAAUCCCUUGAUUUAUUCCACACCUUGUCCAGGUUUGAAGGAAUUUUGUCUCCUACACGUGGCAUGCUCCUAUUGGUUGCUCGGAAGUGGUAAAUGGACCAAUAAGGCACUUUCUCUCUCCUUUGACUUUGGAUGACUUUCACUUCUGAGUUGACCACUUUCAAAACCUGAGGAAAUGUGUAAAACAUCCCUUUGAAAUCCUCUCUCAUCUUUGCACAUCUUCAUUUGGCUUCCUUAGCUCUCCUCCAGUUCAUUUUGACCAUAUCGACCAAAACUGCUUUUCUCCGGAUCAUCUUGGUUAUGUGUUGGCUAGACUCUCUAAUAUGUCUUCAAAUACCUUAAAUAACGUUUCUAGGUUGACUCCUUAACUCCUUGAUUUAUGUUGAUCACCUUUGUCUUCAUGCUGCUACCGAACCUCUGAUGUAGACUAUCUCCGGUACUGCUUUUCGACUGCUUCCUUACGCUCUCGAACAAACUUGAUUCUGACUCGACCAAAUGUCUUCUCCUAUCUCAACUUGAUGAUUGAGAUUAAGUCUUACUUGAGUUGCUGACUUUGGAAAUCCUCCAUGUUCGACCAUCACCAUUCCAUAGCUUAGUUUCUAACUCCUCGAACCAUUUUUACUUAUGCUCGAUCUUUCUUCAAAACUCCUCGAUCGAACCUCCAUAAACAUCUUCAUACACCUUUCCACUUUGGUUGCUGGAUGAUUCCACGUCGUUGACUUUGCGUUGACUUGUCCUCUAAGGUCAGGGUUAUUACACCGACUGUCCUUGUUAAUCAUUACUCCGAUCCUGAAGGCCAACACAAUAGGAUCAAAAUCCUAUGAUGUUAUCCCAUGCUAAUGUAUACAGAGCGUAGGCUUGCUUUGAGCACUCUGAUUUCUUCAAAGUAACAGCACCGGAGGCACGACCCGGCCAGUUAAGACCAGGAGAAUACCACCGACAGAAGAGCCAAGCCGACCGGUGUCAGGCCCCCAAUCCUGGAAAGGAUUGUCGGGACGGCCAUGCUUCGAGGAAACGUACCAGCCAGUCUCAGGACAUCAAGGCAAGCGUUCCAUGGUCAAGAAAGAAGGUUAAAGACAUAAGGAAACUUAGACUUAACCUUAUAAGAGCAAAGAGACGGCUAAGACAAGUAAGACGGUAGCUAGACGAGAUAGAGAAGUAGCUCGACCAGCUUAACGAAGCUAGGUUGAGUUCACUCCAGCUCAGCCACUACUAAGUCAGCUCCACUAGCUGGACUACUAGCUCACUCAGCUGAGGCAGCUGGGAGUCAGCUCAUCUCAGCUAGACGGACUGUUUGGGUUUUAGGCCGAUGGUCCGGGUCCGGGUCAGUGGCGGGCUGUGAGGUCCGGCCAUGAGGCCAUUGGGCUCUUGGGUCCUUGGACAAGGCCGUGGGCUAAGUCCAGGAGUCUUGGGGCGUGGGUUGGGCUUAUGACCUACCCCAAACCCAAUCAGAAAGGGCGAAAGGAUGCAAGUGGCCGAAAGGGGACAACCCUUGGCCGAUGGUGCCCAUUCGCUAGCAAGUCGUGCCUGUUCGUGGGGCAAGACUUACCCCCUCGUUUUCUAUAAAUAUGGGGUCUCUCCUGUUGAUUUCAUUAUCCAAUUCCAGAGUAAAAUUCUCACAGAAAAACGUAGAGAGAGAGAGAGAGUCCCGGCCAAGAGAUCGGCCGGAAAAGGGCCGGUCGUGGUGGUUUUGUGUCUCCGGCAAGGAGAAUGGUUUAGGAGAGAGGAGGCCGUGUGGUUAUGAAUACCCAAGGAAUAGAGAAAGGUCUGGAGAAGGACUCCAAAGCCGUGGUUCAGUCAGAUAGGGUCAGUGGGGUAACCACCAACUCAUCGGCUAAGACAAUCGGACAGUCCGAACCGGUCUAGCCAUGGGGGUUUGGAUUGUGUCCUAUUCUUCUCAUUCUUUUCAUCCAAUUCUUCUUCUACUCCUUCUGUACAUUGGCGUGGCCUUGUUGAUGUGUUGGGAUUGGUUAUAACCGUGGUUCUGGUUGAGUAAUGCGGUCGCGGUCCAUAACCGACGAGUUAGGCGCGCGCAUGGUCUAAACCGGCCUCAGAUGAUCCGAUUGGAUAGGGGCGGUUCUGAACGGUUGCAACCCUUACCUGAACAGUCAAAAUGGUUCAUGACUUGUGUAGGUUAAGGCGUGGUCCUUUGGCCAUAGGCCGGACACACGUACGGACCAGACAGUCCCUACGGACGGUUAGGUCGAACGGUUGGAGCAUCUGAAUGGGUGCGAGAUGCCAAGGGUCAUGAAUUGCCAAGAGGCACGAGUGUCCAAAGGGUACUAGUUCCCAAAGGGUGUGAGUUCCAAACGGUGCCAUUGGUUCAAGGCUUAGGCCGAACCAAGUGGACAGUCCGCGGCUGCAUAGUCGAACGGACGGACGGUUAGUUUAACCGGAGUGUUGUGUCGCAAGGUCUGAUCGGUUGCAAGGCAAUCCGGUUUGGGCUUGGGCCUUACUCGGUGGUAUAGAUCCAGGCUUUGGGUUGGAUCAGGUAAGAAGGACCGUGAGCCUUUGGGCCGGACUUAUAACUUGCCGAUCGCACCUAGAUCUUAACCAGACGGUUAGACGGGACAAUGGACGAUCCGGCUAUGGUUGGAUGGUUCUAGCCGCAAAGGCUAAGUGGGAUAUCUUACAAUCAACCUCGGGUUGGUGAGUAGGAUAGGCGCCAUAUGCCUUAUGUAGGGGGUAGACCCACAUGAUGGCAAUGGAAAGCCAGUUAUAUCAGUACAUGCUAAGUGGACGAUGGCUUAUCAAGUCUAGUGGUCGGAUCAUGUUUCAUGACGAUGGUUCGAUGGCCGAACACUAGUAUGGAUAGUCACGAUGCUGGAGUAAGAGUAUGGAUAGUCACAAUGUUACAUUCUCCCCUCCUUAAAAUGAAUUCGUCCCCGAAUUCACAAGUUACGCCGAACUUUCUGCCACCACCUUUUGUUGGCUACUUCAACUCUUCAUCGUCUUCUAGCUUCUUCGAUUCUACUUCGAUUAUUGAUAAUCUUCUUCCUCUCUUCUUCUUUUGCUUUGACUCUCCUUGAUAUCACCAUUUCUUUACUGCUUCAGCUUCCUCGAUCUGCUCCUUGACUUUUUGUCGUUGAUGCCGCUAUCUGCCCUCACUAUCUUCUUCUUCCUUUGUAAUCCGGCUGCUACUGUUUGAUACUCCUCCAUGUAGGUCUAAACUCCGCUACCAUUUGACCUGAUGCCACCAUCUGAUUCCACCAUUUGAUUCGAAAAUCUUCUACCACCAUUUGAUAUAAAUAAAUUCUUCUACCACCAUUUACUCAUAUCAUGACUGCCUGUUGCGGUACGAUCAACUCAACUGCUUUACCCUUGUCUCCCCUCCUUAGGAAACAACUCCAUCUUGAUCUACAACAUUCCGUCUCUUCUUCGUCUGGGCUUUCUCCUUCAACUCUUCUCGUCUUCUUCUGGUCUUAGACUUGACUAGGCUUCAUCUUCUACUCUCAUCACAAUCUUUCUUCUUGGCUUUACACUGUUUGGGCUUCACCACGACAUCUUCUUGGUUUGGUUUUUCUCUUGACAUCUCUUCUCUGAUUCUUCGGCUUCUGGGCUUUUUAUUAACUUCAUCUCCUCAUGACAUCACCAUUUCAAACAUCAUACACUCUGGUCUUCACGCUUCAGUUACUGCCUUCGUUGCUUCUUCACUAGCUCGAUCACUGAUUGCUCUGGUCUUGCACACAUGAACAUGCACGGAUUGCACGAAAAUCCUUCUUGGGAGAAAGAUCACACCAUCGCUCCUCUUGAAUCCCCACACUGCUCGACGACUCUUGAACAUACGCUGACGACUCUGAACCUUCACAUUGACGACUCUGAACCGUUGCACACUCGUUGCUGAUCUAUACCACGGUUGCCUCUGAUUCCAGAUCUUCCCCACACAUGCACGAAUCUUUUGGUAACAAUAUGUCAAGGCUCAUGUCCUUCCGACACCAUCAACGCUCACAACACAUCUCAACUUAUGGCUAUAAACAGGGAUCGGUUCCUAAAUCCUAGGGUUUACUCUAUCCUAAACUAACAAGGCUUCUAAAAGAAACUAAACCUAACUAUCACAACCUAGCAAGGGCUCAUUAACCGCACUUGCUACAAGGACACACCGUCCACAACACAACAAGGUUGCACACGCAACGCUCAACAACACAAAGCAAAACAAGCAAGCAAAGCAAAGCAAAGCAACAACUACUACUACAACACCCAAGAGAAAGGAUCAGCGCCCACUUACCUUAGCCGCCACGAGAACCCCAAACAGGACUCCUAGUAAGGUCAAGGUCUCUAAGGUUUGAUCCUCCUGUUGUAGAUGAGGCUGAUCGAGCAGGGCUGGUAGGAGGAACAACGGAGAUGGGUACGGCUCUGGUCACGUUGGUCAUUGGACAAUCUGCGAUGAAGUGUCCA